GGGGGUGACUGGUUUCGACUCGGGACGGUAGUCCCAGGAGAAGCGGGCCGAGGAUCCAAGGACAUCUCGUUAACGAUCCUUGGAAAACCAAUAACUGCCGACAACACUCGCGCAGACUUCGCUCUCGCUGCCUGAGCAGUGACCGAAGGGUCAGCCCGGACGUAGCCUUCCGUCCGGUUACUGGCCUCGUAUAGAAGGCUUGCUGAGCCGCCUGGGUUCCAGGGGCGGCUCGGGACUUCACUGGAACUGGGCUCGGCUACCACGUGUUGACGCGAGGGUAGGAGCCAAGCAGACCGCCUAGUCAACUGCGCCCGGAGAAGUCCUGGUUCACCUUCUGAGGACGGGGGUUCGACUCCCCCCACCUCCACCU
rnacentral:tmRNA from 1 species